rnacentral:rRNA from 1 species
GAUGAACGCUAGCGGCAGGCUUAACACAUGCAAGUCGAGGGGUAACAGGGGAGCUUGCUUCCGAUGACGACCGGCGCACGGGUGCGUAACGCGUAUACAACCUACCUUUUAGCGGGGAAUAGCCCAGGGAAACUUGGAUUAAUGCCCCAUAGUAUAUAGACUUCUCCUGAAGUUUAUAUUAAACAUUUAUGGCUAUUAGAUGGGUAUGCGUCCUAUUAGUUAGUUGGUAAGGUAACGGCUUACCAAGGCGGCGAUAGGUAGGGGUCCUGAGAGGGAGAUCCCCACACUGGUACUGAGACACGGACCAGACUCCUACGGGAGGCAGCAGUGAGGAAUAUUGGACAAUGGGCGAGAGCCUGAUCCAGCCAUGCCGCGUGCAGGAAGACUGCCCUAUGGGUUGUAAACUGCUUUUACAGAGGAAGAACCACCCCACGUGUGGGGGUUUGACGGUACUCUGCGAAUAAGGAUCGGCUAACUCCGUG